rnacentral:rRNA from 1 species
UGGGGAAUAUUGCACAAUGGGCGCAAGCCUGAUGCAGCGACGCCGCGUGCGGGAUGGAGGCCUUCGGGUCGUAAACCGCUUUUGUUCAAGGGCAAGGCACGGUCUUUGGCCGUGUUGAGUGGAUUGUUCGAAUAAGCACCGGCUAACUACGUGCC